CAUGUGCGUUUAUAAAGUGUGUAUAAGACACAGAGUUGAGUCUCUAUAAGACUUUAGACUUGAAUCCCAUCCUCAGGAUGUAUGUAUGUGAAAAUAUUCCAAAAUUAUUACGCACAUGGAAAUAUUUCAAAAUCUGAAAAAAAAAAACAAAAAACAAACAAAAAAAAACAACUCUGUCCUACAGUGUGGCUUAGAAUGUCCCCCAGAAGCUACACACACACACACACAUGCACACCUACAUGACACAUUCUGAUGGAGUAUAAUAUCAUAUAAAAUAAAAUGUGCUACUCAAUAAAGUGCACUUGUUUGCAAUUAUAUAUAAAAGUAUACACACAUAUAUUUAUCACAUUUUAUACAUGUACAAUAAAAAGAAUCAGUAUUUUUCAGACCCUGAGACAGAUUCACCCAAACUUCUAGGUUUGAAUGUCAGAAACUGUGUGAAAUAAUAAGUGUUUGUUGUUGUGAGGUGCUACAUUUCAGGGUAAUUUGUUACGUAGCAAUAGAAAACUAAUACAGCAACUCUGCUGUGACCUUCCCUCUCAACUCUUUCUGGCUCCCAAGGGCUGGGUCCCAGGAGGGGAGAAUGGCCCCUGCAUUGUUACAGAGCUCUGAUUCUUGGGAGCUGUUGGAUCUCAACGCUAUUUAUCAUUUCUUUUCCAGUAAUUUGAAAUGGCAGGAGCGAAAAGUGAGAGACAGGUUGGAGAAUUAUGUGAGAAGCUUCCCAAGAACGAGUGAAAAACAAAAUAAAACUCUGUCGCUCUUACUGCAAAUUCAUUAAGAAGCACAUAGAUAAUUAACUUCUGAGCCUCAAGAGCAGUCGCAUAAAACCCUUGCCAGGAACAGUGGCAAACCUGACCAACUGCCCCAAAGGGACUUAGUCGAUGAAAGCAUUCAGAAAGAAAUGACAACGAGUGUUUUAGAAGUCAUUAAGAAACCCUGAGGAAAGAAAUAGACACAUGUACGUACACAUGCACGCUGGUACAUAUACAAUGUAAUAAGAUUUGCUAAAGAAAUAUCAGCUAUAAGUGACUCAUCCCAAGUGGUUUUUAGCUUAUUACUGUGCUGUAUUUUGGAACUUCUACUUUUAUAAAAUGUCAGCCCUUUAAUUCAGGAAGAACAAUCUUCCACUCCCGCACCCUUAAACAUGCAGAUGUGCAGCAGCACUAUUUACCCCCACGUGGUGAUGUUGUACAGCACCCACGUGACUAAACUCCCACUGUAUACCCUAUUUAAUCUCCAAGGGUCCAAAAUCAAGAAAACAAACGUCCUGAGUGACAGAUUCGUGGUAGACGCACAUUCGGGAAAAGGUUAUACCUAAGCAGACAGUCUGUGGUUGGGAACCAAAAUAAGCAGUGAUGACUUGCCAAAUUUCCAAGAGAAAUCCACAGGACAGAAGGGUGCAGGAGGGCUUUCAGGAAGAGAGAAAGCUUAGAGGAAAAAGCCCAUUGAACCUGGGCUCAGAGGGGUGGGAUCAGACUUCAGGGGACCCGAAGAAGGUAUUUGAUUAGCAGAGGGCUGGAGCAGAAGUGAAACCGUGUGAGCAAGAAUAUUAGGCUGAUUUAUAUCAGAACUGAAAGCUAACGCUGAGCAGUCGUUUCCAGAAAAUAAGGGUUGGUAGUGAGGAGCCAGAGAAGGCUCCAGAUUUAAAAAGUGGGCAGCGCACAGAUGUCCUGCAAGCCCUCUUUCAGGAGCCUGGUUUCCCAUCCACAGAACUAAUUAUUACGCAUAGUAUGCUACUUGAUUUUGUGUGUGUGAGUAGCUUCUUUGUAGUUUUUCAUAAGAAAUAAUACCCAUAUUCCAAAAGGGCCUACUGAAAGACGUCAUUACUUUUUUUUGGCAAGAGUUAUGACCAGAGUACCAGGAUCUUCAUCCCUCCCAGAUAGGUGAAAUAGUUGAAGAAUCUCUCUCAUCUUGUAAUUUAAAUCUAAAAACCUAAGUUUGUCUUAAAAUUCCCAAGU
rnacentral:lncRNA from 1 species